UCUAAUGAUGGCGGCUACAAGAAGAUAUUUU
rnacentral:sRNA from 1 species